rnacentral:misc_RNA from 1 species
UAGAGUUGUAAAACUCCCAAAACCCAUGUGAACUUACCAUUUGUUGCCUCGGCAGAGCCUACCCGGUAACUGGUCGGAGAAGCUACCCUGUAGCUACCCUGUAACGGCCUACCCUGUAACGUCCUGCCGGUGGACUUUUAAACUCUUGUUAUUUUAUAGUAAUCUGAGCGUCUUAUUUUAAUAAGUCA